rnacentral:rRNA from 1 species
UACGGGGGGAGCAAGCGUUGUUCGGAUUUACUGGGCGUAAAGGGCGCGUAGGCGGUCAGUGCAAGUCAGUUGUGAAAUCUCCGAGCUUAACUCGGAAAGGUCAACUGAUACUGCUCGACUAGAGUGCGGAAGGGGCAACUGGAAUUCUUGGUGUAGCGGUGAAAUGCGUAGAUAUCAAGAGGAACACCUGCGGCGAAGGCGGCAUCCUGGACCAACACUGACGCUGAGUGAGCGAAAGCAUGGGGAGCGAACAGG